rnacentral:rRNA from 1 species
GACGAACGCUGGCGGCGUGCCUAAUACAUGCAAGUCGAACUUAGUGGCGAACGGGUGAGUAACACGUGGGUAACCUGCCCAUCAGAGGGGGAUAACACUUGGAAACAGGUGCUAAUACCGCAUACUGAUGGAUGGACCCGCGGUGCAUUAGCUAGUUGGUGAGGUAACGGCUCACCAAGGCCACGAUGCAUAGCCGACCUGAGAGGUUGAUCGGCCACAUUGUGACUGAGACACGGCACAAACUCCGUCGGGAGGCAGCAGUAGGGAAUCUUCGGCAAGGGACGAAAGUCUGACCGAGCAACGACGCGGGAGUGAAGAAGGUUUUCGGAUCGUAAAACUCUGUUGUUAGAGAGGCGGUAUCUAACCAGAAAGCCACGGCUAACUACGUGCCAGCAGCCGCGGUAAUUC